rnacentral:lncRNA from 10 species
AAGUCCCCCUGGCAACAUGAUGCACUGUGAAGGUCAGGAUGAACAUUGCCGUAAACAGAACAAGGACAGGAAAGUUAACAGAGAGAAGAUUCUGUAGCUGCAAAAAUACCUCUAGGUGUUCCGGACACUAUGUGCCUAUAGCUGGCUACAGGAUCACAGCAGCCAAAAGCCCUCCAGGAAGAAGUAUGGAAGCAGCUUUAUUGAGGUUGCCAGCAAGGAUUACGGCUUCUUUGACGCAUGAACGUUUUGGAAUUUAUGAGGAUUUUAAUGAGGAUUUUCUGAAAAAAAUAAAAAUUGUUAUGUUCUGGGCAUUCAUCUAUCCUCUCAUCAGCUUUUGAUCUACCACAUCUUGGGAUAUGAAUAAUGUUUCUGUUAAUGAGCCAGCCUCUGGGAACCAUCACUCUCCUAUUGCUUAAGAUUUCCAGGGUCGAACUUGAAGCUGCAGCAGAAGAAGAUAUGGAAAAACUAAAAUCUUCCUCAAGCAAAUAUUAGAGUAAUUGUCAUUAUCUCACCAUGCUCUUUUCCUGGUUAUAAAUAUGCUAGAAAACAUUCUUACUGUAAUUUUAAUAAAGUAUUUCUCUAUGUUUUCUUCUGAUUAUUUUUAUUAUUUUAUAUGUUAUUUGACUAUGUAGUCAACUUAGAAUUUUUGUGCAUGUGUGUAAAAGUGACAUUGCAAGCUAAUUUUCUAUAUGAAUAAAAACUGUCUCCAUGCUGCUUAUUUGGUCAUUACAGGUACAGGAAAGUCAUUUUUUAAUGUUGAUCUUGUAUUACUGAGCCCUCUUAUUAAUUUCAAUGGUUUUUCAGUAGAUUCUUCUAAGUUUUUAAGUAGAUGGCCAUAUCAUCUAAAAUAAUGCUGCCUCUCUUGACUCAAUAUUGGUAAUUGCUUUUAUCUAGAAAAAUCAUGCAAUUAUUAUAGACCGUAGUGAAUUUUAUAAUUCCUUUACUGUUUUUAUAUUCCCAUUAUAUAUUAACAUUUAGAAUUUAACUUUAUUUUUUAGUCUCAGGUUAGUUUCACAAGGAGAUACAAGUGCCACAGACCCACUUUAUGGGAUUAGUGUCCACCAGCACAGGGGACACUGUGGCAGCCUUUGAGUGAAUUAGCUGAGUGGCACUUAGUUUGCAACACACCGAAUAUAGCAUCUGAUCACAGUUCAAGACAUUUGAGAGGGAAGAAACAAAGGGAGAUGGGGAGAAGAAUCUAAGUAAGAUGUUAGCAGUAGCACUCACUUUCAUAUUCACCAACUGAAGGCUAAGGAAAGCAGCUGGAUGCCGAGGCAUUAGGAAAAACGUUCGCCUAAGAAUGUGCCUGCUAUUCAGCUAUUAAAUUCCAUUAAAAUGUCCUCAUUCUGUGGUCCAUCCUUAACAUCUUCUUCCAACAGCUGCAGAUGCUCCCUCAGAGCUUGGGUGGGUCGGAAAUAUAUACAGGAAAACAUAAAAAAUAUUUUGGAUGUAUAUUCUCAAAAUAGGUGAGGAGGGAAUAUUUAAAUAAACAUGGUAAAUGUGCUAUAAUAAUUAAUAAAACGUAUUUGUUUGGUAUUGAAAUCAAUUGUCCUCCAAUAUAUUGGGAUAUAAAAUGCAUUUAAAAAUAUGGUACAUUCAGUAGGAAUAAACACAUACUUUUUUAAAAUUUAGAAGCCCUUUUCAUACACAUUUUUAACAAUCACCUCAUAAUGAUGAUACUA